GCAGAUUAAGACUUGCCCCGUAUACUUGUUGGUUGCUGAGAUAUAAGGACACCCCUCUGAGUGCAAAUUAGAAGAAGAAGCAUCUGGCAUCCUUUACAUUCUCCAUGGACAAGUACCAGUACACACCAAUCAUACUAGGGGUGCUUCUUCGGUAGCCAUGUAGUGCAAUGUAAGUGGCAUAUUCCAUUUGGUAAAAUCAUAGACUAACGUGCAUGCAUGCUAAUGGUUUCUUUUGUUAUUCCGCAGGCAGAAUCGAUUUCCCGGAUGGGAUCUGCAUCAGGCAACCCUGCGAAUCAAGUGUGGACGGCAUACAAGGAAUGUUUCUGCUGUAGAUCAGCAGGCCAUCGCUAUUGGACAAUGGAAGAAUGCCAUAGUAUAGAUGUGGACGGCAGCCGGGUGCACCACCCUCAGUCUAAUGUAAUAAUUGGAUGUUUUUUUUUUGAAGCGAUACAACUUGGUCCUUCGCCAUGAUCUAAAAGAAACAGUUUCCCCCCAUCAGUUGGGAGUUAAGUUUAGUUUUCUAGACUUUGUCAUUUAUUCUAUGGACCUAAAUCCAUCCAUAUAAAAAGUACAUUCGUACCAAGUUUUUGUUCAAGAUAAAAUAUUCCGUAAACUGAAUGUGGUAGAUUAUAGACCAAGUCGAUAUCUACUAGAGAUACAUUAGGAAACCAACUUGUUUUUUUUUGCGUUGGAAUUUGGGGUUCUUUAUUCAACAAAAGCACACCUGGCACCGUCCGCCAUAAGGCUAUUGACCAGGAACGGAGGUACAUCAUCUGUCCAUGCCUCGGUCAAUUGCACCGAACAAGCUCGCUUGAUGUACAAUACACCCCAUAUACAAACAAAAAUUCCACACUUACCUAGAAAUCCUACGUAAUCUUACUUAACUUUUCUAACUAAUCCCUCCACCCCCCCCCCUAUUUCAAUUGUGUGGGCCCCCUCCCCUGAUUUCCUUCAAUUAAAAAAGGCCACCUAAGCUAUUACGUUAGUUUACGCAUGAUAGCUACGCCGUGUAGCAUUGCUCAUAUACAAAUGCAUACAACGCGACUUGAUUGUAUAGCAACGGCGGCAGAGGGCCUACAGGUGUAGGGAUAGCGAUGUAUAGGGCAUGGGGAG
rnacentral:lncRNA from 1 species